UUAAAUGGAUGAAAUAUGAAGUUUUAUUAAAAGAAAAAGGGGUAAAAAGAACAAAGUUUUGUCCAUCUUUGUUCAUCAUAGCUGAAAGUUAGAGAAGAGAAAGGAGAGGAGAAAGCUCUUGAGUAUUUGGUCAUUAGGAGGAGGAAAAUUGAAGGCGGUUCGUGUGUGGAUCUCGUCAGCAUAUCGUUGCAAAUAGUACGCGCGAUUUCGUACAUUUUGAUAAUUUGGGCUUAAUGGGCCAAAGAUCGGGUUCAUGGGCCAACGGGCCCAAUUUGGUAAGUAUACGCGGUAAGUGUUCUGAUAGUACGUAAAUAGUUAGGAUAUGCAUGAAAACCCUGAAAGUAGCUAAAUUACUAUAAUACCCCUAUGUAUGGAAAAUUACUGUUAUACCCCUAGGUGCAAAAUUACCGUUAUAUCUCUAGGGUUAAUUUUGACUGAAAAGCAUGACGAUCUGAUUCUGUAUGAUGUAUGCCAUGAUUAUAUAUCUGUUGCAUUGGGACAUGGGUUAUAUUAUGGAGG